rnacentral:rRNA from 1 species
UACGUAGGGUGCGAGCGUUGUCCGGAAUUAUUGGGCGUAAAGGGCUCGUAGGCGGUUUGUCACGUCAGGAGUGAAAACUCGGGGCUCAACCCCGAGCCUGCUUCUGAUACGGGCAGACUGGAGGUAUGCAGGGGAGAACGGAAUUCCUGGUGUAGCGGUGAAAUGCGCAGAUAUCAGGAGGAACACCGGUGGCGAAGGCGGGACUCUGGGCCGAUACUGACGCUGAGGAGCGAAAGCGUGGGGAGCAAACAGG